AACGAACGCUGGCGGCAGGCUUAACACAUGCAAGUCGAGCGCCCCGCAAGGGGAGCGGCAGACGGGUGAGUAACGCGUGGGAACGUACCUUUUGGUUCGUAACAACUCCGGGAAACUGGAGCUAAUACCGGAUAAGCCCUAACGGGUAAAGAUUUAUCGCCGAAAGAUCGGCCCGCGUCUGAUUAGCUAGUUGGUGAGGUAACGGCUCACCAAGGCGACGAUCAGUAGCUGGUCUGAGAGGAUGAUCAGCCACACUGGGGCUGAGACACGGCCCAGACUCCUACGGGAGGCAGCAGUGGGGAAUAUUGGACAAUGGGCGCAAGGCUGAUCCAGCCAUGACGCGUGAGUGAUGAAGGCCUUAGGGUUGUAAAGCUCUUUUGUACGGGAAGAUAAUGACUGUACCGGAAGAAUAAGCCCCGGCUAACUUCGUG
rnacentral:rRNA from 1 species